GGGUCGUUAGCUCAGUUGGUAGAGCAGUGGACUCUUAAUCCAUUGGUCGAGUGUUCGAGUCACUCACGGCCUACCA
rnacentral:tRNA from 1 species